rnacentral:rRNA from 1 species
UACAGAGGGUGCAAGCGUUGUUCGGAAUCAUUGGGCGUAAAGCGCACGUAGGCGGCUUUGCAAGUCAGGUGUGAAAGCCUGGGGCUCAACCCCAGAAGUGCAUUUGAAACUGCAGAGCUUGAGUCUUGGAGAGGGUGGUGGAAUUCCGAGUGUAGAGGUGAAAUUCGUAGAUAUUCGGAGGAACACCAGUGGCGAAGGCGGCUCACUGGCCCGGAACUGACGCUGAGGUACGAAAGCGUGGGGAGCAAACAGGG